rnacentral:rRNA from 1 species
UGCUCCUACGGGGGGCAGCAGUGGGGAAUAUUGCACAAUGGGGGAAACCCUGAUGCAGCGACGCCGCGUGAGCGAUGAAGUAUUUCGGUAUGUAAAGCUCUAUCAGCAGGGAAGAAAAUGACGGUACCUGACUAAGAAGCCCCGGCUAACUACGUGCCAGCAGCCGCGGUAAUACGUAGGGGGCAAGCGUUAUCCGGAUUCACUGGGCGUAAAGGGAGCGCAGGAGGCACGGCAAGUCUGAUGUGAAAGCCCGGGGCUCAACCCCGGGACUGCAUUGGAAACUGCCGGGCUGGAG